rnacentral:rRNA from 1 species
AUUGAACGCUGGCGGCAUGCCUUACACAUGCAAGUCGAACGGUAACAGGUCUUCGGAUGCUGACGAGUGGCGAACGGGUGAGUAAUACAUCGGAACGUGCCCGAGAGUGGGGGAUAACGAAGCGAAAGCUUUGCUAAUACCGCAUACGAUCUCAGGAUGAAAGCAGGGGACCGCAAGGCCUUGCGCUCACGGAGCGGCCGAUGGCAGAUUAGGUAGUUGGUGGGAUAAAAGCUUACCAAGCCGACGAUCUGUAGCUGGUCUGAGAGGACGACCAGCCACACUGGGACUGAGACACGGCCCAGACUCCUACGGGAGGCAGCAGUAGGGAAUUUUGGACAAUGGGCGCAAGCCUGAUCCAGCAAUGCCGCGUGCAGGAUGAAGGCCUUCGGGUUGUAAACUGCUUUUGUACGGAACGAAAAGCCCUGGGUUAAUACCCUGGGGUCAUGACGGUACCGUAAGAAUAAGCACCGGCUAACUACGUGCCAGCCGCCGCAGUAACAC